rnacentral:tRNA from 2 species
GCCGGUGUAGCUCAGUUGGUAGAGCAACUGAUUUGUAAUCAGUGGGUCGGGAGUUCAAGUCUCUUCGCCGGCACCA